GACAGAGGGUGCAAACGUUGCUCGGAAUCACUGGGCGUAGAGGGCGUGUAGGCGGGCAGGUAAGUCGGGCGUGAAAUCCCUGGGCUCAACCCAGGAACUGCACUCGAAACUACUUGUCUUGAGUGUCGGAGAGGAAAGCGGAAUUCCUGGUGUAGAGGUGAAAUUCGUAGAUAUCAGGAGGAACACCAGUGGCGAAGGCGGCUUUCUGGACGAUAACUGACGCUGAGACGCGAAAGCGUGGGGAGCAAACAGG
rnacentral:rRNA from 1 species